AUUGAACGCUGGCGGCAGGCUUAACACAUGCAAGUCGAGCGGGGGAAGGUAGCUUGCUACCGGACCUAGCGGCGGACGGGUGAGUAAUGCUUAGGAAUCUGCCUAUUAGUGGGGGACAACAUCUCGAAAGGGAUGCUAAUACCGCAUACGUCCUACGGGAGAAAGCAGGGGAUCUUCGGACCUUGCGCUAAUAGCUGAGCCUAAGUCGGAUUAGCUAGUUGGUGGGGGAAAGGCCUACCAAGGCGACGAGCUGUAGCGGGUCUGAGAGGAUGAUCCGCCAACCUGGGACUGAGACGCGGCCCAGAAUCCUACGGGAGGCAGCAGAGGGGAAUAUUGGACAAUGGGGGGAACCCUGAUCCAGCCAUGCCGCGUGUGUGAAGAAGGCCUUAUGGUUGUAAAGCACUUUAAGCGAGGAGGAGGCUACUCUAGUUAAUACCUAGGGAUAGUGGACGUUACUCGCAGAAUAAGCACCGGCUAACUCUGUGCCAGCCGCCGCGGUAA
rnacentral:rRNA from 1 species